rnacentral:rRNA from 1 species
CUACGAGUGGCUGCAGUGGGGAAUAUUGCACAAUGGGCGCAAGCCUGAUGCAGCCAUGCCGCGUGUAUGAAGAAGGCCUUCGGGUUGUAAAGUACUUUCAGCGGGGAGGAAGGGAGUAAAGUUAAUACCUUUGCUCAUUGACGUUACCCGCAGAAAAAGCACCGGCUAACUCCGUGCCAGCAGCCGCGGUAAUACGGAGGGUGCAAGCGUUAAUCGGAAUUACUGGGCGUAAAGCGCACGCAGGCGGUUUGUUACGUCAGAUGUGAAAUCCCCGGGCUCAACCUGGGAACUGCAUCUGAUACUGGCAAGCUUGAGUCUCGUAGAGGGGGGUAGAAUUCCAGGUGUAGCGGUGAAAUGCGGAGAGAUCUGGAGGAAUACCGGUGGCGAAGGCGGCCCCCUGGACGAAGACUGACGCUCAGGUGCGAAAGCGUGGGGAGCAAACAGGAUUAGAUACCCCUGUAGUC